GGGUCAGUAGGUUGGUCGUGCCACCGGUACGUACUGGUCUCACUGAUUCCUCCUUCCUGAAGAACCGUAAUGCCAUUAAUUUGGUGUUGCGGGGAAACAGGACUGUUACUUUGAAAAAAUUAGAGUGUUUAAAGCAAGCUAACGCUUGAAUACAUUAGCACGGACUAAUGAAAUAGGACGAUCGAUCCUAUUUUGUUGGUUUCUAGGAUUGACGUA
rnacentral:rRNA from 1 species